UACGUAGGGGGCUAGCGUUGUCCGGAAUCAUUGGGCGUAAAGAGCGUGUAGGCGGCCCGGUAAGUCCGCUGUGAAAGUCCAGGGCUCAACCCUGGGAUGCCGGUCGAUACUGCCGGACUAGAGUUCGGAAGAGGCGAGUGGAAUUCCCGGUGUAGCGGUGAAAUGCGCAGAUAUCGGGAGGAACACCUAUGGCGAAGGCAGCUCGCUGGGACGUUACUGACGCUGAGACGCGAAAGCGUGGGGAGCAAACAGG
rnacentral:rRNA from 1 species